UACGUAUGGUGCAAGCGUUAUCCGGAUUUACUGGGCGUAAAGGGAGCGCAGGCGGCCUGGCAAGCCAGAAGUGAAAACCCGGGGCUCAACCCCGCGGAUUGCUUUUGGAACUGUUGGGCUAGAGUGUCGGAGGGGUAAGUGGAAUUCCUAGUGUAGCGGUGAAAUGCGUAGAUAUUAGGAGGAACACCAGUGGCGAAGGCGGCUUACUGGACGAUAACUGACGCUGAGGCUCGAAGGCGUGGGGA
rnacentral:rRNA from 1 species